AGCAGUCGCCACGGUAAUACGAAGGGUGCAAGCGUUACUCGGAAUUAUUGGGCGUAAAGGGCUCGCAGGCGGUUUCUUAAGUCUGAUGUGAAAGCCCCCGGCUCAACCGGGGAGGGUCAUUGGAAACUGGGAAACUUGAGUGCAGAAGAGGAGAGUGGGAUUCCACGUGUAGCGGUGAAAUGCGUAGAGAUGUGGAGGAACACCAGUGGCGAAGGCGACUCUCUGGUCUGUAACUGACGCUGAGGAGCGAAAGCGUGGGGAGCGAGCAGGAUUAGAUCCCCUGUAGUCCCUGUCUCUUAUACC
rnacentral:rRNA from 1 species